UCAAGUUGGAAAUAUGACACCUCAAGAAAAAAAAAAUAGGGUUCAAGUGAAAAUAAAGUUUAAGAAUAAGAUUCAUAAUGUCUAUAAGUAAAACCUUCAAAAGAAAAAAUUAUUUAUGAAAUAUACAAGUAAAUUUAGAUCUCAUAAAGCAUUAAAAAACGAAUAAUAGCGACACAAACAAGCAGAUCGAACCGAGAAAUCUUUCCUUCUUCUCCGAUUUUCUUGGUAAUCCGGCGACGACCUAACAUUUCGGUUCUACUCUCAUCUCUCAAUCCGAUUCACUAAUCGAAUCUCAGGCAGGUUAUUCUUUUCCAAUCGGACAUCUUUUUGCAACUAUUCUUUGAAGAUAUUGUCAUUUUGGAGGUUUCCAUACUCGUUUUAGGGUUUUUCGUGGUCGGAGAGAAAUCUGUAUCUCCGUUCUGUUAUUAUGAUCACGCGCUCAAAGCUCGUAGAGCAACUCCGAGAUAGCCAGAUCCGAUCUCAGCACAAGUGGUCUCCUCUCGUUAUCUUCUCCCCCAAACCAAAUCUCUCCUCCUGGAUUGAUGUUGGUGUGGCAAUUUUCUGGCUGAUUGUGCUCAUUAUCCUUGUAACAUCAUCAUACAUGACACUCUAUUUGAGACAUUAUUGGCUUUCAUUUAUCAUCAUUUGCCUUUCUAUUUCAAUUCCAAUUCGCUUGAGGAUUUCUAGGCAAACAAUCGCAAGAAAAAAAGACAGAAGAUUGCUUCUGCCUUUGUCCAUGUAACAAACAAAUUAAUUUAAUCAUUAAUACAUGCUUUUGUUCGCCUAUAUGUACAAAACAUAAUUAUAUUACAUUACUUUCACAUGUACAUUUGACUAAUAAUUUUUCAUCUUUUUUA